rnacentral:rRNA from 1 species
UACGUAGGGGGCAAGCGUUAUCCGGAAUUACUGGGUGUAAAGGGAGCGUAGACGGUAAUGCAAGUCUGGAGUGAAAGGCGGGGGCCCAACCCCCGGACUGCUCUGGAAACCGGGCAACUUGAGUGCAGAAGAGGACAGUGGAACUCCAUGUGUAGCGGUGGAAUGCGUAGAUAUAUGGAAGAACACCAGUGGCGAAGGCGGCUGUCUGGUCUGCAACUGACGCUGAGGCUCGAAAGCAUGGGUAGCGAACAGG